rnacentral:rRNA from 1 species
UGCCAGCCGCCGCGGUAAUACGGAGGGUGCAAGCGUUGUCCGGAUUUAUUGGGUUUAAAGGGUGCGUAGGCGGCCUAUUAAGUCAGUGGUGAAAGGUAUCAGCUUAACUGAUGACGUGCCAUUGAAACUGAUAGGCUUGAGUACAGACGAGGUAGGCGGAAUUUAUGGUGUAGCGGUGAAAUGCAUAGAUAUGUCAUAGAACACCAAUUGCGAAGGCAGCUGACUAGACCUACAUUGACGCUGAGGCACGAAAGCGUGGGGAGCGAACAGGAUUAGAUA